AAAUGAAUAAUACUUUAAAAACAUUCCAAAGAAGUAUUAAAAAAAGAACAGAAAAUGCAUCACUAAUAAUAAUGAAUUAUGUCUGAAAAAAGAAGAAUAAGGACAACAAAAUUUUUUUUUCAAAGCAUCGCAAUAUCAGUCCAAUAAAUUAUAGCUAAGAAAUGGUUUCGAAAGUUUGGAAAAGAAAAUUUUGAUCUAAAAGAUCAAAUAUCUCAUAUUGGAUGUUUUGCCACUACAGAUUCUGAUAAAAUCAAGGCUUUAAUCAAUGAUAAUUAAUAACACAAUAGAUUGAUCAAGCAUUAAAUAUCCAUCAUAAUUGUUUCG